rnacentral:tRNA from 1 species
GCCACGGUCGCUUAGUCUGGUAUAGCGCUGGCUUGCUAAGCCAGUCCCAUCAGGGAUCGUCGGUUCAAAUCCGGCCCGUGGCG